rnacentral:tRNA from 1 species
AGGAAAGUCAUAAAGGUUAUGAGAUUGACUUGAAAUCAGUCUUAGGUGGUUCAAUUCCUCCCUUUCUUG